GAUGAACGCUGGCGGCGUGCCUAAUACAUGCAAGUCGAACGAAACUUCUUUAUUACCGAGUGCUUGUACUCAUCGAUAAAGAGCUAAGUGGUGAACGGCUGAUUAAUGCGCUGGCAACCUCUCCAAAAGAGGGGGGUAACACUGGGAAACAUGUGCUAAUACCGCAUAACCAUAGUUACCUCAUGGUAACCGUUUAUAUGGUGGUUAUACUUCAGCUCUUGGCUUGGCACGCGGUGCAUUGGCUAGUUGGUAGGGUAAAGGCUGACCGAGGCAAUGACGGGUAGGCGAAUUGAGAGGUUGAGCGUCCACGUUGGGAAUGGGACACGGCCCCAACUCCUACGGGAGGCGGCAGUAGGGAAUCUGCAUCAAUGGGCGAAAGCAGGAUGGAGAAGCGCCGCGUGGGUGAAGAAGGUCUUCGGAUCGUAAAUCCCUGUUGUUAGAGACGAAAGUGCGUGAGAGUGACUGUUCGCGUUUCGACGGUAUCUAACCAGAAAGCCACGGCUAACUACGUG
rnacentral:rRNA from 1 species